UCUUACCUGGAUGCACUCUUAAUGCCACAUGUACAAGGUCCUGUUUGGUAUUGUCAAGGGCGUCCUUUUAUUUUUUAAGAAAAUAUUCUUUUUAUUUUUAAAUUGUUUUAAUAUAUUUAUAUAAAUUCUUUUAAAAAAAUAUUAAAGUGAGUAAUUUUAUUUUUUACUUUCGCUGCCGUGCUUUUUAAAACACAUAUUUCUUAUGUUCUCCGCCUUUUGGCUUGGCACCUAACUGAUUGAUCAACUAUUUUCUAUUUGAUAGUAAUGUUAAUCACUAACAGCCCACUCUUUCACAUAAUUCUCCCUCUCCCUCCCUCCCUCCCUCCCUCUCCCUCUCUCCUUCUUCUACUUAUUGUUUUUUUAUAGUAACAUGGGUGCUUGAAGUUGAUAACGCGGUUAAACUGUUCGACAAAAUGUCUAAAUGAAAUAUGGAUAAUGAUGGAUAGCAACACACAGGAAAAAGUUCAUGAAGUUGAGGAAUUUUUUUAUGGCCAUUUGAAACCACAGCUUGUUCGCGCUAUUGCUGAACGGGACAAGGUUUUUGAGCAACAAAAGAUGUUCUCAGAUUAGCGAAGGAACAUAGAGAACUUAGAGAAGAACAGCGUACGAUGGUCAACCUUGGCUCCGUAUUGUACAUGCAAGCUGAUGUGCCAGAUACCCACCGCAUAUUUGUGGAUGUUGGACUUGGAUUCCAUGUGGAGUUUACCUGGCAAGGUUUGUGAGGGGAUUCGGGAGUUACUCCAAUUGCCAGCAGAUAAUCAUUACCAGAGCGUCUUUUUUAAUAUUUAAGAGAUAAAAGUGUACUGCUACGACUUUCCCAUCUUUCAUAAUUAACACGGGGAAACUUUGAUGGAAAGUGAUGUCCGAGAAAGUGAAAAACAAAAGAUUCUUAUUCAGGGAUCUAGAGGAUAAGUUUGACCUAGUCGCUUCCCUGUUAUUUUUCACUUCUGCAAGUUGUCCCUUCUGUAGUGUUGCUGAUUUUACUUUUAACCGUUUUAACCGCUAACGUUUAUUUACCGGCAGGAAUGCUGUAAAAGCCAUGUGGCAAUGACGGAAUACCCAGGAGUCACAGAACCAUGUGGGCAGGAGCUGAAUCUUUUAAAAUGGUCUGUGGAAAAAAUGUUCAGGACAAAAGUUAGACACCUGGUUUUCAACCAUUUUUCAUUGUGAAACAAACAUUGAAAAACAAGUCAAAAGUAAAAUUCAAUCAACUUCUAAAUACUGUCAAUUUAAAAAUAUUUUAAUUUUCAUAAUUUUUAUAAUUAUCAAUUCAUAAUAUCCACCAACAUCAUAAUUUAACCACCAUCACUAGCUAUCAUUGUUUAACUACCAUCAAUUCAUCAUUAUUUUUACUAUUACCAUUAUUAUUUUAAUAUUGAUAUUAUCACAACAAUAAUCAGUAUAUCAUUUACUAUUAUUAUCACUAUAAUUAUUACUGUUAUAACAAUUAUCUUUUUAUACUUAUUCAAUUAUUGGACCAUCACCACCAUCAUCACUACACUACCACCAUUAUUAUUUCUACUAACAAUAUAAUUUUUUCAUGUUAUUAUCAAUUAUUAUUUUUUAAUACAUUCAAACUAAAAAAAAAUUAAUCAAUCUUAGAAAAAUAUUUUUGAUGGAAAAACAUUCUUCGCAAAGCAAAUGUACCAUAACAGCGACUCGUAAGCUUGCUAGCACCCCUGAGCAAAGAUCAUCUGCUACCACCACCUCCCAUACCGCAGCAACCUCGUGAUGGCCUAUGGCCUAUGGGCUAGCAGUGCACAGGCACAGGCAGAGGCACAGGCAGCAAAAUUAAGCCCAUCUGUAUUGUUAAACUCAGGAGUCAGAACCUUUAUCCUACUACUAGCUAACAGGGUUUGUUUGUUAGGAUGGAGGCCAGUGGGAGAAAAGAUGCCUCAUCGUGAAAAGAAGCAACUCUGGGAUUGGACAGCACGGAGGAGAUGAAUUCACUCGUAACCAUCACCAAACAGCUGAUGCCAACAGCGCUUAUUUCAUGCAUUGGGCAACGGUGGGUUCUGGGAUGAUUUAACCCAUCGGGUCAUUAACAGUGCGGUAUAAUGGAAAGCAACAAGCGCAUCGCUAUCAUUUUAAGAACUUUGAUUGGACUGAACUGAUGGGAUGGGACCGAUAAAUGCAAGAAAACAACUUCUUGUUUUAUAGGCUGUUUUUACUACUGUUUAUGUUAUUAAUACUCUCCAUGGCCGUGGCUGUGAAUGUGCUGUGUUUGUGUAGCAGCAGAGCUGAAUUAAAGGUUUGCUUUCGCCGACAAAAGGAAUCAAUUCACGGCCACUUCAGAUAUAUUAAGGACAUAUAUGCUCUUCUUUUC